GUCCACGCCGUAAACGAUGAGAACUAGAUGUCGGGGAUUAGCCCCUCGGUGUCGUAGCUAACGCGCUAAGUUCUCCGCCUGGGGAGUACGGCCGCAAGGUUGAAACUCAAAGGAAUUGACGGGACCCGCACAAGCGGUGGAGCAUGUGGUUUAAUUCGAUGCAACGCGAAGAACCUUACCUGGUCUUAACAUCCUCGGAACCCUACAGAGAUGUGGGGUGCCUUCGGGAGCCGAGAGACAGGUGCUGCAUGGCUGUCGU
rnacentral:rRNA from 1 species